GACGAACGCUGGCGGCGUGCUUAACACAUGCAAGUCGAGCGGUAAGGCCCGUUUCGGGGGUACACGAGCGGCGAACGGGUGAGUAACACGUGGGUGACCUGCCCUCAGCUCUGGGAUAAGCCUGGGAAACCGGGUCUAAUACUGGAUAUGACUCCAUGACGCAUGUUGUGGGGUGGAAAGCCUUGUGCGGCUGAGGAUGGGCCCGCGGCCUAUCAGCUUGUUGGUGGGGUGANGGCCUACCAAGGCGACGACGGGUAGCCGGCCUGAGAGGGCGACCGGCCACACUGGGACUGAGACACGGCCCAGACUCCUACGGGAGGCAGCAGUGGGGAAUCUUGCGCAAUGGGCGAAAGCCUGACGCAGCGACGCCGCGUGA
rnacentral:rRNA from 1 species